rnacentral:rRNA from 1 species
UACGGAGGGUGCAAGCGUUAUCCGGAUUCACUGGGUUUAAAGGGUGCGUAGGUGGGCAGGUAAGUCAGUGGUGAAAUCUCCGAGCUUAACUCGGAAACUGCCGUUGAUACUAUUUGUCUUGAAUAUUGUGGAGGUAAGCGGAAUAUGUCAUGUAGCGGUGAAAUGCUUAGGUAUGACAUAGAACACCAAUUGCGAAGGCAGCUUACUACACAAUUAUUGACGCUGAGGCACGAAAGCGUGGGGAUCAAACAGG